rnacentral:rRNA from 1 species
UACGUAGGGUGCAAGCGUUAAUCGGAAUUACUGGGCGUAAAGCGUGCGCAGGCGGUUGUGCAAGACAGAUGUGAAAAUCCCUGGGCUCAACCCAGGAACUGCGUCCGAUACUGGCAGGCUUGAAUUCGGGAGAGGGAUGUGGAAUUCCAGGUGUAGAGGUGAAAUUCGUAGAUAUUCGGAAGAACACCAGUGGCGAAGGCGGCUCACUGGUCCGGUACUGACGCUGAGGUGCGAAAGCGUGGGGAGCAAACAGG